AAUCAACGCUGGCGGCGUGCCUCAGACAUGCAAGUCGAACGCGAAAGUCUCCUUCGGGGGACAAGUAGAGUGGCGCACGGGUGAGUAACACGUAGGUAAUCUACCUUCGGAUGGGGAAUAACAACCGGAAACGGUUGCUAAUACCGCAUAAUGCAGCGGCACCUAAUGGUGACAGUUGUUAAAGCGGGGGAUCGAAAGACCUCGCGUCUGAAGAGGAGCCUGCGGCGGAUUAGCAGUUGGUAGGUAACGCCUACCAAGGCGACGAUCCGUAGCCGGCUGAGAGGGCGGUCGGCCACACUGACACUGACAUACGGGUCAGACUCCUACGGGAGGCAGCAGUCGGAAUUUGGCAAUGGGCGAAAGCCUGACCCAGCAACGCCGCGUG
rnacentral:rRNA from 1 species